GAUGAACGCUGGCGGCAUGCCUAACACAUGCAAGUCGAACGAUACCAGGGAGCUUGCUCUCUGGGAAAGUGGCGCACGGGUGCGUAACGCGUAUGCAACCUACCUUUAUCAGGGGGAUAGCCUCUCGAAAGAGAGAUUAACACCGCAUAAAAUCACAACCUGGCAUCAGGAAAUGAUCAAAUAUUUAUAGGAUAAAGAUGGGCAUGCGUGUCAUUAGCUAGUUGGUGAGGUAACGGCUCACCAAGGCGACGAUGACUAGGGGAUCUGAGAGGAUGACCCCCCACACUGGUACUGAGACACGGACCAGACUCCUACGGGAGGCAGCAGUAAGGAAUAUUGGUCAAUGGAGGCAACUCUGAACCAGCCAUGCCGCGUGCAGGAAGACGGCCCUAUGGGUUGUAAACUGCUUUUAUACGGGAAUAAACCCCGGUUCGUGAACCGGGUUGAAUGUACUGUAAGAAUAAGGAUCGGCUAACUCCGUGCCAGCCGCCGCAGUAAUAC
rnacentral:rRNA from 1 species